CGAGUGCUCACCCUGCUUUGCUGUGUAACCUUCCCCAAGGCUCUUACCCUCUCUGGGCCUCUCCUACAUCAUCUGCAGUGCCUGCUUUGUGGGAUUGCAAGGAUCAAAGGAUAAACCUGGAAGCGAGGCAGCGUUCACCAUGAUGCAGUGAGGAGCCCAAGGCCCUGAGAGGUCAUAUGACUCACUCAAGGUCGUCCUGCCGUAGCAGAGAUGCGAUGAAGCCCUGCCUUUAUACAGGGCUGAGGGAGUUCAAACGGACUUCCGCCCACGCCUGCUCCCCGCAUCGGCCUGUCAGAUGCCCACCUCAGAGGCCUGGUGGAGGCCGCGACCCCUGGAGGCUGGACCUUCCGAGGAGGCUCUGACCACCUUCACCAGGAAAGGAAGUUGAUGGGUGCCAUGAGGGAUGCUGUCCUGUCUUUAACUGAUUCCAUCCCGACAAUCACCUGAAGAGGAUCAGAGAGGUUUUAUAUCCAACCCCAUAUCACACAGCUACCGAGUGGUGAGACAGAUAUGAAACCCAUA